rnacentral:misc_RNA from 1 species
GAAACUCUGAUUCUUGAACUGUACGUGGAAUCCUUCGCACCGCAGACAACAAGAUGAAGAUUUCAACGUUAGCGGCACUCCUGGGUCUCGCCCUCCUCGCCGCCAUGGUGGCGCCUGCAGUUGCAGACCCCAUGGACAGGGCAGAACAGUGGAAAUGUGACAAAGACAAAAAACAUUCCUGGGAAAGCAAUGACGUCCGUCACCACAAAGUCUGAGUCAUCAGGCGUUCCCUUCGACGAUAGACACUACUACCUCCCCUCUUCUACACGGGAGCUUUAACUCUCACCUCGGCGUACCAUUUAACUUUUUACUUGUAUGUUUGGUAGUUAGUUAUAGUUCCUGUAAAUAAAAACUUUAUUUUCUUAAGAAUU